rnacentral:rRNA from 1 species
AUGCAACAGUUGGUGUGGAAGAUCUGGGCUCCCCCCAAAUGCAAAUUCUUUGCUUGGCUUGUGAUCAAUAAUAGGAUAUGGACGGCCGACAGGCUCCAACACCGUGGAUGGCCUAACUGUGAUCGCUGCCCCCUCUGCAAGCAAGUUUAGGAAACCGCGGUUCACCUCCUUUUCCAAUGCCGCUACAUGGUUUGAGUUUGGGAAAUGAUCAAAUCUUGGCUUGGCUUGGUUGAUGUGAACCCUACAGCUUGGGUUAUGGUCCAUUCGGUGAAAGCCUGGUGGAACCUCAUUGACUCCAACGCAUCGUAGUCUCGACGGGCGAUGAUUUCUCUUAUUAUGUAGAUCUCAUGGGAAAUUUGGAACAAGAGGAAUGCACACGUCUUCCGUAACACCGCGGUACCGGUUGGGGUUCUUGUUGCAAGAAUCAAAGAUGUUUCAAUGUGUUGGUGCCUUACAGGGGCCAAAUAUUUGAGUACUGUAGUGCCGCGAGAUGACGUCUUGUAA